ACGAUGGGUAGCCGGCCUGAGAGGGUGAUCGGCCACACUGGAACUGAGACACGGUCCAGACUCCUACGGGAGGCAGCAGUGAGGAAUAUUGCGCAAUGGGCGAAAGCCUGACGCAGCGACGCCGCGUGGAGGAUGAAGGUCUUCGGAUUGUAAACUCCUGUCGAGCGGGACGAAGGCGGUGAGUGUUAAUAGCACUCGCCGUUGACGGUACCGCUGGAGGAAGCCCCGGCUAACUCCGUGCCAGCAGCCGCGGUAAUACGGAGGGGGCCAGCGUUGUUCGGAAUUAUUGGGCGUAAAGGGCUCGCAGGUGGUUUGUUAAGUUGGUGGUUUAAUCUCUGGGCUCAACCCAGAGUCAGCCUCCAAAACUGACGAACUUGAGUACGAUAGGGGAUAGCGGAAUUCUCGGUGUAGCGGUGAAAUGCGUAGAUAUCAGGAGGAACACCUGUGGUGUAGACGGCUUACUGGACUAUAACUGACGCUGAGGAACGAAAGCGUGGGUAGCAAACAGGAUUAGAUACCCUGGUAGUCCACGCCCUAAACGAUGCAUACUUGGUGUGAGCCAUUCACUUGGUUCGUGCCGUAGCUAACGCGUUAAGUAUGCCGCCUGGGGAGUACGGUCGCAAGGCUG
rnacentral:rRNA from 1 species